rnacentral:rRNA from 1 species
UACGUAGGGGGCUAGCGUUGUCCGGAAUCAUUGGGCGUAAAGCGCGUGUAGGCGGCCCGAUAAGUCCGCUGUGAAAGUCCAGGGCUCAACCCUGGGAUGCCGGUGGAUACUGUCGGGCUCGAGUCCGGAAGAGGCGAGUGGAAUUCCUGGUGUAGCGGUGAAAUGCGCAGAUAUCAGGAGGAACACCGAUGGCGAAGGCAGCUCGCUGGGACGUGACUGACGCUGAGACGCGAAAGCGUGGGGAGCAAACAGG